GAUGAACGCUGGCGGCGUGCCUAAUACAUGCAAGUCGAGCGAACGGACGAGAAGCUUGCUUCUCUGAUGUUAGCGGCGGACGGGUGAGUAACACGUGGAUAACCUACCUAUAAGACUGGGAUAACUUCGGGAAACCGUAGCUAAUACCGGAUAAUAUUUUGAACCGCAUGGUUCAAAAGUGAAAGACGGUCUUGCUGUCACUUAUAGAUGGAUCCGCGCUGCAUUAGCUAGUUGGUAAGGUAACGGCUUACCAAGGCAACGAUGCAUAGCCGACCUGAGAGAGUGAUCGGCCACACUGGAGCUGGGACACGGUCCCGACGCCUACGAGAGGCAGCAGUAGCGAAUCUGCCGCGCUGGGCGAGAGCCUGACGGAGCAACGCCGCGUGAGUGAUGAAGGUCUUCGGAUCGUAAAACUCUGUUAUUAGGGAAGAACAUAUGUGUAAGUAACUGUGCACAUCUUGACGGUACCUAAUCAGAAAGCCACGGCUAACUACGUG
rnacentral:rRNA from 1 species